AUGGAGUCUGUGCUCAGCUGGGUUUUCCUUGUCACUAUUUUAAAAGGUGUCCAGGGCGAGGUGCAGCUGGUGGAGUCUGGGGGAGACCUUGUGAAGCCUGAGGGGUCCCUGAGACUCUCCUGUGUGGCCUCUGGAUUCACCUUCAGUAGCUUCUACAUGAGCUGGUUCUGCCAGGCUCCAGGGAAGGGGCUACAGUGGGUUGCAGAAAUUAGCAGUAGUGGAAGUAGCACAAGCUACGCAGACACUGUGAAGGGCCGAUUCACCAUCUCCAGAGACAAUGCCAAGAACACGCUGUAUCUGCAGAUGAACAGCCUGAUAGCCGAGGACAUGGCCGUAUAUUACUGUGCAAGGUACACAAACAUGGACAUGACGUCCCACAAAAAGGCUCACUGUUCCUCCUACACAGAUUCAAUACCCAUGCUGCUGGACGCUAUGUCCUAUCACAUGAGGCAGGACACUGAUGAGGAUUGA